rnacentral:rRNA from 1 species
CCUGAUGCAGCGACGCCGCGUGAGGGAUGACGGCCUUCGGGUUGUAAACCUCUUUCAAUAGGGACGAAGCGCAAGUGACGGUACCUAUAGAAGAAGGACCGGCCAACUACGUGCCAGCAGCCGCGGUAAUACGUAGGGUCCGAGCGUUGUCCGGAAUUACUGGGCGUAAAGAGCUCGUAGGUGGUUUGUCGCGUUGUUCGUGAAAACUCACAGCUUAACUGUGGGCGUGCGGGCGAUACGGGCAGACUAGAGUACUGCAGGGGAGACUGGAAUUCCUGGUGUAGCGGUGGAAUGCGCAGAUAUCAGGAGGAACACCGGUGGCGAAGGCGGGUCUCUGGGCAGUAACUGACGCUGAGGAGCGAAAGCGUGGGGAGCGAACAGGAUUAGAUACCCUGGUAGUCCACGCCGUAAACGGUGGGUACUAGGUGUGGGUUUCCUUCCUUGGGAUCCGUGCCGUAGCUAACGCAUUAAGUACCCCGCCUGGGGAGUACGGCCGCAAGGCUAAAACUCAAAGAAAUUGACGGGGGCCCGCACAAGCGGCGGAGCAUGUGGAUUAAUUCGAUGCAACGCGAAGAACCUUACCUGGGUUUGACAUGCACAGGACGCCAGUAGAGAUAUUGGUUCCCUUGUGGCCUGU